UAGCGGUCUACACUUAUGUGUGGGAAGCUAGCGAGGGAAACAUGCAUACGUUAUGCAGCAUAUUAACUCGC
rnacentral:ribozyme from 1 species